rnacentral:rRNA from 1 species
ACAGAAUAUUGAGUUUAACUGGGGUAGUUUUUUUGUAAAAUCUGAGGUUGUAAAAGGCAUGUAAAGUGGGGUUAGGUCCUUUAGAUAAGGAUAAUUUGAGUGAGUUACUUUAGGGAUAACAGCGUAAUAGUCCUAGGGAGAUCGUAUCUAUGGGAUUGAUUGCGACCUCGAUGUUGAAUUAAAAGAUCAGUGUAGAGCAGAAGCUACAGGGUGAGGGUUUGUUCAACCUUUAAAUUUUUACAUGAUCUGAGUUCAAACCGG